rnacentral:miRNA from 1 species
UAAUCUCAGCUUGUAACAUGGAG